rnacentral:rRNA from 1 species
UACGUAGGGUGCAAGCGUUGUCCGGAAUUAUUGGGCGUAAAGAGCUCGUAGGCGGUUUGUCGCGUCUGCUGUGAAAACUCGGGGCUUAACUCCGGGCCUGCAGUGGGUACGGGCAGACUAGAGUGCGGUAGGGGAGACUGGAAUUCCUGGUGUGGCGGUGAAAUGCGCAGAUAUCAGGAGGAACACCGAUGGCGAAGGCGGGUCUCUGGGCCGUAACUGACGCUGAGGAGCGAAAGCGUGGGGAGCGAACAGG